rnacentral:lncRNA from 1 species
AAAAACUGAGAGUUAAUUAAUGCAAUUCACGGUUAAUUUGGGGCGUUGAGAAUUAAUAAGUUAUUGAAAUGCAAUUGGAAAUCAUUUUGUAUGCAAGCAAGACAUGUGUGGAGAAGAACCCCUUAGCUAGCCUUCCAUUAUCCAUUCAACCCAAAUUUGUUUAAAAUCUAUUUAAGUUUUUAGUUUAUUCGUUUUUACUUUCAACUUCACCAAACUCAAAUCCCCCAUUUACUUUCUUGUUUUAAAAUCUUUUGUUUACAUUUUUAACUUUGUUUCUUUUUGUUUUUGAGUCAGUUUAGAGGUUUUAGCAAGCCCUCCUAAUCUCCGGUUUAGAACGAUCCCUACUUACAUACUUUGCUACAAUUGUCAAAAAGAGGGUUUAAUUUGUGUGCUUAUAAUAUUUCGCAUCAUCGCUCAUAAAUCAAUUUCCUGCUAAACUUUCUGUAAAAUUUGAACAGGCAUGGCAUAAAAUUUGUGAUAUAUAUCAGUAUUGUGGACCUAAUUAUAGACAAAGAUGAGGUUGUAUGAUAUUUGUUAUACAUUUAAUCAUCUUUCAAAGAAUAAUAAUUUGUUUGCUAUCUUAUAUACUGCUAUUUGUUGGCCCAACACGGCCCACCACCAACAUUAUUGAUAUUAUCUCAACUUGACCAUCUAUUACUGGGUAUUGGAUUUUAUCACAAAAUGUCUCAGUGAUAUUAGGGAUGAAAUAUCCCAUAUUUAUAUGUUGUAUUGUAUUUUGUCAUAUGCAAUGUAGGACUCUAUUCUCCAACACGCCCCUCACGAGUGACCCCACACAAGGUUGCAAGGGAAACCAAGUCUCACAUCGAGAAUGGUCAAGUCAUUAUACCGAAUACCUGAGCUAACACCCAUCUUUUUUAUAGUUCGGUGGGUAGGUCUGUAUUCACUCUUUGGAGCUAACGCCAAUCUUUUUGAAGGCCCAAUCUUCAAUGGCCUUAAGUUGGGGCUAGCACAACUUUUUCGAAAGCCCAACUUUUGGUAGCAUGCUUAAACCUAGUAACCUGGCCUAGAACGUGUCGAGAAAAUAGCAUGCUCUGAAACCAUGAUUAACUUUGUAGGCCCAACACAAUCCACCACCAACGUCACUGAUAUUAUCAUAAAAGACUUCGAUUAUUUCAGAGAUGGAAUUCCCAUAUAUAAGUUGUAUUGUAUUUUGUCUUACUCUAGAUGUGGGACUUUAUUCUCCAACAUAUAAACUUGUUACUUUUUAGUACAAUAUUUUAUAUUUAUUUUUUCACAAACGAUAAAAUGUUUUUUAAAUUAAGGGAAAGGAAAUUCAAACUUAAGCACAUUAUUCUAGCCGACUUAACUAGUAUAUAUGUUGGCUUAUAUAUUUUAUGUCAAGAGGUAAAGGUAGAUAGAUUUGUAUUUUGAUUUGUGGGGUGAUGGAUUGCUUUUCAUUCUUUGUUCAAUAUUAAGGAAAUUGGCUAUUAUAAGCUAAUUUCAGAAGUGUUUAGCUGAAACACAAAUAUAGACACCAACUACAAUAUCUACAUCAUCUUGAUAGGAUAAAAUGUCUAAGUUACCCCUUUAUAUAUACAUAUACAUACAUAUAUAUACAUAUACAUACAUAUAUAUACAUAUACAUAUAUAUAUAUAUAUAUAUAUAUAUAUAUAUAUAUAUAAUAUAGCACAUACAACAUCUCAAUAUAUUGUAUUGAGAUAAUAUUGUUAAAAUAUCGAUAACGUUGAGAUAGUGCGGAUAAUGUAUUGAGAUUGAGAUGAUGUAAAUAUUAUACGGAGUAAACUGUCAUUUAACCCCCUGAACUAUCACGUGAGUUUCAAUUUCCCCCCUAAACUAUUUUUUUAGCCAAUUGACUCCCUAAACUGUGUUAAAGUGGCCAAUUAACCCCCUACCGUUAAGUAUCUUUAACUCCAUCCAAUUUUCUGUUAGAAAGUGUCAUGUGCUUGGCACAUGACCACCUUUUUACAUUUUAUGUCUAAAUCUUUACAAAGAAAACAUAUAUAACAAAUAUUAAAAAAAAAAAACUUACAAACCCUAAACUUAAUCAUUUAAAAUAAUAGAAAAGGUAAGGCUUUUUAUAUUAACACCCCACAAAAUGUUGAAUGCACCCCAUAUUAAAAUUUAAUAUUAAAUGACUUAUUUACUCCACUAUGCAAUGACAAUUUUGACCUUAUUAGGUUUUAAAAAAAAAAAUUAUAAUUACACCCUAAAUCACUUUUAGCGUAUUAUUUAUCUUCUUAACUAUCAAAACCCUCUCAUCCUCCAUUGUUGAACAAAAUCCUAACCAAUGAAACUACAAAUAUGUUGAUUGAGAAAAAUUGUUUUUGACGAAUGAAACACGAAAUCGAUGUUUCUGAAGCUUCACAUGAGAUAAGACUUCACAUUUUUCAUUGUUUUAGUGAUUUCGAUGAUAUCGAUAAUUAUUUAAUCUUGCGUUUGCUGCAUUAUUUUUCAAUAUGAACCCUAAAAGAUGAAUAUGAAUAUGAAUAUGAAUAUGAAUAUAUAAGUUUAAAUAAUGCAGCAAACGCAAGAUUAAAUAAUUAUCGAUGUCAUCGAAAUCACUAAAACAAUGAAAAAUGUGAAGUCUUACCUCAUGUGAAGCUUCAAAAACAUCGAUUUCGUGUUUCAUUCGUCAAAAACAAUUUUUCUCAAUCAACAUGUUUGUAAUUUCAUUGGUUAGAGUUUUGUUCAACAAUGUAGGAUGAGAGGGUUUUGAUAGUUGAGAAGAUAAAUAAUACGCUAAAAGUGAUUUGGGGUGUAUUUAUAAUUUUUUUUUAAACCUAAUAAGGUCAAAAUUGUCAUUACAUAAAUAAGUCAUUUAAUAUUAAAUUUUAAUAUGGGGUGCAUUCAACAUUUUAUGGGGUGUUAAUAUAAAAAGCCUUACCUUUUCUAUUAUUUUGAAUGAUUAAGUUUAGGGUUUGUAUGUUUUUUUUUUUUAAUAUUUGUUUUAUAUGUUUUCUUUGUAAAGAUUUAGACAUAAAAUGUAAAAAGGUGGUCAUGUGCCAAGCACAUGACACUUUCUAACAGAAAAUUGGAUGGAGUUAAAGAUACUUAACGGUAGGGGGUUAAUUGGCCACUUUAACAUAGUUUAGGGGGUCAAUUGGCUGAAAAAAUAGUUCAGGGGGGAAAUUGAAACUCACGUGAUAGUUCAGGGGGUUAAAUGACAGUUUACUCAUAUUAUACGUGAGUGUGCUAUCUAUAUGUGCACGAUGUUGUUGAUAAUGCUAGUGAAUAUUGUCAAUAUGUUGUUAUAGUUAUCAAUAUGCGUUGGACAAGUCGUCUAUGCAGUGGCGGAGUCAGGUAUUUACAACGAUGUGGUCAAAAAAUAGCUUUUAAAAAUCAAUCAUACUUCUAUUAGUUUAUAAUUCUUCACGGCGUGUUCUCAUAUUUUGGAAACGUUGUAUCACAACAUCAUUAUCAUAGAAUCAAAUACAUAAUUCUAAAUGUAUACAACCAAUCUAUUAUUCAACAAUUCAUCACUCAUCCUAUUUACAAUGUGGAUUCUUCACAAUAGGCAUCACUGAAAAAGCUUUUUCAACGGAAGCAGUCGCAACAUGUAAAAUUAUUGCUAAUUUCACUAGCAAGUACACCAAGGAAUAUUGUCUAUCCCUCUUUGUCUCCACCAACUUUUGUGCAAGACUACUAAUUCCUUUCAACACAGAAAAUUCAUUAUGCCAACACAUGUCAACGAUAUAAUUUUUAAGUUCAUCUUCAAGAAGUGUGGGCUCCAUAUUUGGAUAAAAUUGAGCAAGAAGAACUAACUCAACCACAUAAUAUAAGUUUGAUCAAAUUAACAAUCACUGACUCAACAACAACAAAAACAACAACAAAGCCUUUUCCCACUAAGUGGGGUCGGCUAUAUGAAUCCUA